rnacentral:lncRNA from 1 species
UUCACUAUAACCCUAUAAAAUAGAUGCUAUCUUCAUUAUCCCCUUCUUACAGAUGAGAAAAUUAAAGAGAUUAAAUGAUUUGCCCAUGGGGCAGGAUUUGAACUCCCAUUACACCUCAACUGUCAGUCAAUCAAUGGAGGUCCGAUGCUUGGAUCAGAUACUCAUUAAAUUGUUGAUGGAACUCCAUGCUGGCAUCCAAGACUUGAAGCAAGAAUAUAGUGAUUUGACAGAUGCAGAAUCCAGCUCCCACCAAAUGGACAAUCCCAACGAUAUAUAUUUUGAUGUACCGAUAUUAAUAAAACCUUUCCUUCUGUAUAAAAUUCCUUUAAGGAAGACAUCUUGUAGAAGAAGUUCCAUGCCAUGAUCCAGCAAUAUAAACUGAUCUUCUGAUGCUAAUCAAUAUCAAUUAGUAUUUCUAACUCAGAAUAUUUCCUUCUCUGCACCAUACCAGGAAGGAAUGUUUAUAUGAUUCCUUUUACUUUCAGAUGUUUUGUUAAAUGAAGUUAACCGUAGUAGAUGAGUCCAUUUUGCUAAUGUUUUUCUUCAUCUUCCUCAUCUGUUUGAUUUUUAAGAAGCCAACUCUUAGUCUCAAAUCAAAUAACAACAGAAAGGUUCAAGCUUCUAAUAGAAUUAGGUUAAUUUUCAUUUAGGUAACUAAAAACCAAAUGUGAGCAUUUUGGAUAGACAGUAAGGAUAUUGCCUUAUGAGAAAUAAGUGUGUAUAUAACUUCCUAUAAAGAUAAGUCUUUCAGUUUUUGAAACUCCCAACACUUCUGUCUUUCCUGAUAUUUCAACACUUCCUAAUGACGAUAGACAUGCAUUCAGAAGAUACCCAAAAUGUAAAAGCACAGAUUUAUAUCUUUUUAAAAAAAUUUUAGUUAAAAAUUUUAAUCAAGCAUUUUAUUUUGUUUCACAUUUUUAAAUUGUAUUCUUAAAAUAAAGUUUAGUUCUUAUGCA